rnacentral:lncRNA from 1 species
CAGCUCAGAUGCACAGGAGCUGCAGCUGUGCAGUAACUGCAUGGUUUGGUCUGUGUUUUUCAGGCUCCAGCCGGCGAGUCUGGGCCUGGGAGCUCCAGGCGGGAUGCCUCUUACUCACCGAGCAGCCAGCAGGCUUCCAUAAACUUCAUCCCACCGCAGGAUGACAGCAAAUCACAGACCAAGCCGGGCGUCAUUCAGCCUCUCUCCCGGGUGCGACAAAAUGCUGCCCAACCUAGUUCGGAGGGCAGGGACAGCCCCAACCCCUUCCAGCAACCUGAGUCAUGCUCCAGUGUCCAGAACUCUCUGCGUCCCGCCUCUCCAGAGGGUGUCCCAGCUAAUGUCAAGCAGGCAUACAAGACCUUUGCAGCGGUGCCCCUGUCACAGGCAAAUAAGGAGACGCAUGGUCAGACAAGCACCGAGAAACCUAAAGCUUCUCCUGAGGUGAGUUUCAGUGGCUGGAAAUGAAGUUGGAGUUGGGAGUCCUAAUCACAGACCUUGGGGAUAA